rnacentral:rRNA from 1 species
AUUGAACGCUGGCGGCAUGCUUUACACAUGCAAGUCGAACGGUAACAGGCCGCAAUGUGCUGACGAGUGGCGAACGGGUGAGUAAUGCUUCGGAACGUGCCCAGUCGUUGGGGAUAUCUACUCGCAAGAGGAACUAAUACCGCAUACGAUCUAUGGUUGAAAGCGGGGGAGCGUAAGGCCUCGCGACGUUGUUGCGGCCACUGUCGGAUUAGGUAGUUGGUGGGGUAAAGGCUCACCAAGCCAACGAUCUGUAGCUGGUCUGAGAGGACGACCAGCCACACUGGGACUGAGACACGGCCCAGACUCCUACGGGAGGCAGCAGUGGGGAAUUUUGGACAAUGGGCGCAAGCCUGAUCCAGCAAUGCCGCGUGCGGGAAGAAGGCCUUCGGGUUGUAAACUGCUUUUAUACGGAACGAAACGGUUCUGGUUAAAACCCGGGGCUAAUGACGGUACCGAAAGAGAAAGCACCGGCUAACUACGUG